rnacentral:rRNA from 1 species
CAGCGCCACAAGUGGCAAUCGCGUUUAUUGGGCCUAAAGCGUCCGUAGCAGGUUUCAUAAAUCUCUUGUGAAAUUGCCAGGCUCAACUUGGCAACGUGCAGGGGACACUGUGAGACUCGAGACCGGGAAGGGUAUGAGGUAUUCCUGAGGGAGCGGUAAAAUGCUAUAAUCUCAGGAGGACCACCUGUGGCGAAGGCGUCAUACUAGAACGGACCUGACUGUGAGGGACGAAAGCUAGGGGAGCAAACCGGAUUAGAUACCCGAGUAGUCC